UAAGCAGGGAGUAGGUUCCAUUAAUGCAGCAACUAUCAUUUCAUUUGUAAUUAAAAAUACAAAUGUCAAAUACUAGUGAGGAAAUGAAUUUGUAGGGGAGAAGAUAUGAAUUGGAAGCUGUCUUAUCUACUGCUGAUUGGUACCUGAAGAGAGAUGCCAAAACUAAAUUGCAGAAAAGUAAUUGAAACCUAGCACCAAAAGGACACAAAGUGGAAAGUCACUGAAGGAUAAAAUGCUGACAACUCAUAAA